rnacentral:rRNA from 1 species
CCUACGGGAGGCAGCAGUGGGGAAUAUUGGACAAUGGGCGGAAGCCUGAUCCAGCAACGCCGCGUGAGGGAUGACGGCCUUCGGGUUGUAAACCUCUUUCAGUACCGACGAAGCGCAAGUGACGGUAGGUACAGAAGAAGCACCGGCCAACUACGUGCCAGCAGCCGCGGUAAUACGUAGGGUGCGAGCGUUGUCCGGAAUUAUUGGGCGUAAAGGGCUCGUAGGCGGUUUGUCGCGUCGGGAGUGAAAACGCCGUGCUUAACACGGCGCUUGCUUUCGAUACGGGCAGACUAGAGGUAUGCAGGGGAGAACGGAAUUCCUGGUGUAGCGGUGAAAUGCGCAGAUAUCAGGAGGAACACCGGUGGCGAAGGCGGUUCUCUGGGCAUUACCUGACGCUGAGGAGCGAAAGUGUGGGGAGCGAACAGGAUUAGAUACCCUGGUAGUCCACACCGUAAACGUUGGGCGCUAGGUGUGGGGUCCAUUCCACGGAUUCCGUGCCGCAGUUAACGCAUUAAGCGCCCCGCCUGGGGAGUACGGCCGCAAGGCUAAAACUCAAAUGAAUUGACGG